UAUCGAAAAGAAAAAGUGGUGUGUGUGUGUGUAUGUAUGUGUGUGUGUGUAUAUAUAUACACAUAUACAUACACACACACACACCACUUUUUCUUU